rnacentral:rRNA from 1 species
AGUGAACGCUGGCGGUAGGCCUAACACAUGCAAGUCGAACGGCAGCACAGUAAGAGCUUGCUCUUACGGGUGGCGAGUGGCGGACGGGUGAGGAAUACAUCGGAAUCUACUUUUUCGUGGGGGAUAACGUAGGGAAACUUACGCUAAUACCGCAUACGACCUACGGGUGAAAGCAGGGGAUCUUCGGACCUUGCGCGAUUGAAUGAGCCGAUGUCGGAUUAGCUAGUUGGCGGGGUAAAGGCCCACCAAGGCGACGAUCCGUAGCUGGUCUGAGAGGAUGAUCAGCCACACUGGAACUGAGACACGGUCCAGACUCCUACGGGAGGCAGCAGUGGGGAAUAUUGGACAAUGGGCGCAAGCCCGAUCCAGCCAUACCGCGUGGGUGAAGAAGGCCUUCGGGUUGUAAAGCCCUUUUGUUGGGAAAGAAAAGCAGCAGGUUAAUACCCCGCUGUUCUGACGGUACCCAAAGAAUAAGCACCGGCUAACUUCGCG